AGAAUGGGCAAAUGAAUAGUAAAUUUGGAGGCCUGGGGCCCUCCCUGCUGCUGGAGAAGUGUCUGCAUGGGUGGGCCUUAUCUUUGAAAGGAGGUGGA
ensembl:miRNA